GCCUCUGAGCAAGUUGAGCGAGGAGGGACAGAGAAGUGUGCUGGAUGAAACCACGUGAGGACUUGUGGAUCUCACGUUGAGGUGCAUCGAGAGGGCCCACCCUUCUAUUUGGUUAUUGACGUAGAAGGGACAUGUCUGGCCUGACUGCAACACCCAUGCUUGCAGUGUGGGACAGUUCUCAUAAAGGUGAUUCAGGGUAGUUUCUGGAAACGAAGACAUCAGAUGGCAAAGGUCUAGCAGCAGAAUGUCUUUGAAACAGCUGUGCCUAUGACCAAGUUCAUGCAUCGUGGUAGACAAGAUGCUUCUCUGUCCAUCGCUCUGACCUGCCAACUCUGGUGCAAGUGUGCAGUUGUGGCGAGAGGGAUUUCCUAGUCCUGAUUUGACCUGGUGGACACCAACUUUCCUAGUCAAUUGCCGAUGUUGCUGAGGAGGCAGCAGUAUCAAAGCCCUUGUUGAUGAAGAUAGAACAAGUUUGGGGAGGCUUUGGCAUUUCUGCACAA